AAUUUUUCCAUAAAAAAAAUAACGAGGCUUCCUGAGAGAUGGAAAAAACUGAUAGAGCAGAACGGUUUAUAUAUAACGCAAUAAAUCAAUCUUAAACAACAAAUAUCGUGUCAAUUCAUUUCGUAUCAAAAA